rnacentral:ncRNA from 1 species
GACUGUUGAGGUAGAACAGGUAGCUACACGCUUGAAUAUGUAUUGAACAGUUCGAGUCUUAAAAAAAGCUUAAUUGCUAAGAGAUGCGGGAUUACCACCCCACCAACAGUC